GCGUAGGGGGACGCGGGAGGGACAUUAAAGAGUUAAAAACAACUCCUAAACCCAUGUGAAACCUACCUUUGUUGCCUCGGCAGGUCUGCAACUUACCCUGAGGGUACCUACCCUGUAGGUACCUUACCCGGUAGUUGCGGGCAUAACCUGCCGGUGGUCUACUAAACUCUGUUUACUAUGUCAUUCUGAAUAAUAUAACUAAAUAAGUUAAAACUUUCAACAACGGAUCUCUUGGUUCUGGCAUCGAUGAAGAACGCAGCGAAAUGCGAUAAGUAAUGUGAAUUGCAGAAUUCAGUGAAUCAUCGAAUCUUUGAACGCACAUUGCGCCCAUUAGUAUUCUAGUGGGCAUGCCUGUUCGAGCGUCAUUUCAACCCUUAAGCCCUGUUGCUUAGCGUUGGGAGCCUACAGAUACCCUCUGUAGUUCCUUAAAGUUAGUGGCGGAGUCGGUUUCACACUCUAGACGUAGUAAAUUUUAUCUCGCCUAUAGAUGAGCCGGUCCCUUGCCGUAAAACCCCCUAAUUUCUAAAGGUUGACCUCGGAUCAGGUAGGAAUACCCGCUGAACUUAAGCAUAUCAUAGCGGGGAGAGGAAA
rnacentral:rRNA from 1 species